rnacentral:rRNA from 1 species
GAUGAACGCUAGCUACAGGCUUAACACAUGCAAGUCGAGGGGAAACGAUAUUGGAAGCUUGCUUCCGAUAGGCGUCGACCGGCGCACGGGUGAGUAACGCGUAUCCAACCUGCCCACCACUUGGGGAUAACCUUGCGAAAGUAAGACUAAUACCCAAUGAUAUCUCUAGAAGACAUCUGAAAGGGAUUAAAGAUUUAUCGGUGAUGGAUGGGGAUGCGUCUGAUUAGCUUGUUGGCGGGGUAACGGCCCACCAAGGCUACGAUCAGUAGGGGUUCUGAGAGGAAGGUUCCCCACAUUGGAACUGAGACACGGUCCAAACUCCUGCGGAGGCAGCAGUGAGGAAUAUUGGUCAAUGGGCGAGAGCCUGAACCAGCCAAGUAGCGUGCAGGAUGACGGCCCUAUGGGUUGUAAACUGCUUUUAUAAGGGAAUAAAGUGAGUCUCGUGAGACUUUUUGCAUGUACCUUAUGAAUAAGGACCGGCUAAUUCCGUGCCAGCCGCCGCCGUAA